AGCAGUAGCCGCGGGAAUACGUAGGUGGCAAGCGUUGUCCGGAAUUAUUGGGCGUAAAGCGCGCGCAGGUGGUUUAAUAAGUCUGAUGUGAAAGCCCACGGCUCAAUCGUGGAGGGUCAUUGGAAACUGUUAAACUUGAGUGCAGGAGAGAAAAGUGGAAUUCCUAGUGUAGCGGCGGAAUGCGUAGAGAUUAGGAGGAACACCAGUGGCGAAGGCGGCUUUUUGGCCUGUAACUGACACUGAGGCGCGAAAGCGUGGGGAGCAAACAGGAUUAGAUACCCCCGUAGUCCCUGUCUCUUAUAC
rnacentral:rRNA from 1 species